AUUGAACGCUGGCGGCAUGCCUUACACAUGCAAGUCGAACGGUAACAGGUCUUCGGGUGCUGACGAGUGGCGAACGGGUGAGUAAUGCAUCGGAACGUGCCCAGUUGUGGGGGAUAACUGCUCGAAAGAGCAGCUAAUACCGCAUACGACCUGAGGGUGAAAGCGGGGGAUCGCAAGACCUCGCGCAAUUGGAGCGGCCGAUGUCAGAUAGGUAGUUGGUGGGGUAAAGGCCUACCAAGCCGACGAUCUGUAGUUGGUCUGAGAGGACGACCAGCCACACUGGGACUGAGACACGGCCCAGACUCCUACGGGAGGCAGCAGUGGGGAAUUUUGGACAAUGGGCGCAAGCCUGAUCCAGCAAUGCCGCGUGCAGGAAGAAGGCCUUCGGGUUGUAAACUGCUUUUGUCAGGGAAGAAAUCUUCUGGGCUAAUACCCCGGGAGGAUGACGGUACCUGAAGAAUAAGCACCGGCUAACUACGUGCCAGCAGCCGCAGUAAAAC
rnacentral:rRNA from 1 species